rnacentral:lncRNA from 1 species
GUUUUGCUGAGAUCUUUCUGGUAAAGUGCAACUUUUCCGCUCAGCUCCAAGUACAGCUGGGCCUGUGCCACGUGGAGGUUCACGAAGGUCUCCUGAAUUGAGAACUUUAUACCUGUUCAGUCCUUUCGGACCUUGCCCAAGGAUACGGUGAGAACCAGAAGAACAGAUGCUGGGACAAAGUUGCUGUAAGAGCUCGUGAGCUCCAUCCAUUCAUCUAUCUGUCCACCUGUUCAUCCAUCGAUCUGCUGAGGGCCCAUGUGUUGGUUUGGGGUGGCUUAUUUUGCAAGGGGAACAACAUAAUACAGGACACAUACUUUAUAUGAUUAUUUAUAAGUCACCCAAAGAACAGUAUACAAAAGAGUGCAGGAAAUCUGUCCACACACUAAGACCAAGGAAUCCAGCUGAGGGUCUGGAUCCCACAACAAUGUCCUACACGAGUUGAGCUGAAUACCCAGAGCUCAUAACAAUGCCUCCCAUGAAUCCAACUGGAGGCCCAGAACCCGUGACAAUGACUCAUGCGGACCUGUUUCAUGGAUCUUCUGGAAAGGCCCAAAGGUCAGUGGUGGAAUCUACAAAGUCUGUGCCAGCAGGAAGAAGGAUCUGUGCUAGCAGGCUGAGGGAUCCGCACCGGAGCCAGGAAGCGACGCCCAGAAGAACCAGGGCUCCCCCAAAAGGUACCACAGCCAUCGUCGGCAACAGUGAGGUCCCAAGCUCCUCCAAUGACCAGGAUGGCCGAGUUCCCAUCAGGGAAGCCAACACAGCAAGCUUUUCCAGGAGGCCGGCAAUGCACCAUCUUCCCCUCCGGAACCAGGAAGCUAUGCUCAAAGUGAGGACCAGAGCUCCCCAAAGUGAACUGAAGCCAUUCUCAGUGCCAGCGAGGUCCCGAGCUCCUCGGAGGAUGAAAACAGCCAAGUUCAUCAGGAAGCCAGCUCCUCACGGUCUCUCUCAGCUCCCAACAGCUUCUCUCAGCUCCCAACAGCCCUCUUCUUCUUCUCCAGGUCUGCCUCUUAUGCUGCUGACAACAGUCCUCAGGAAUCUCACUGGCAGAAGACAGUCCCCUCGACCCCUGCUCAGAGCAAAGUCAUCAGAGAAGCAACCCAACCUAGCAAUUGGAGAAGAUUCCAGCGUACAGCAGGUAACAGCUCAGGCACGAGCAAGGCCUAAGUUUGAACUGUGGCUCUGCCACUCACUCGGCAGAUAUUUUAAGCUCCCUAAACCUCAGUUUUUUGGUCUGCGAAGUGGGAGUUGUAGUUCUUACUCUGAAGAGUGUUUGUGA